GACGAACGCUGGCGGCGUGCUUAACACAUGCAAGUCGAACGGAAAGGCCCUGCUUUUGUGGGGUGCUCGAGUGGCGAACGGGUGAGUAACACGUGAGUAACCUGCCCUUGACUUUGGGAUAACUUCAGGAAACUGGGGCUAAUACCGGAUAGGAGCUACUGCUGCAUGGUGGGGGUUGGAAAGUUUCGGCGGUUGGGGAUGGACUCGCGGCCUAUCAGCUUGUUGGUGGGGUAGUGGCUUACCAAGGCUUUGACGGGUAGCCGGCCUGAGAGGGUGACCGGCCACAUUGGGACUGAGAUACGACCCAGACUCCUACGGGAGGCAGCAGUGGGGAAUAUUGCACAAUGGGCUGAAGCCUGAUGCAGCAACGCCGCGUGCGGGAUGACGGCCUGCGGUUUGUAAACCGCUGUCGCCUGUGACGAAGCGUGAGUGACGGUAAUGGGUAAAGAAGCACCGGCUAACUACGUG
rnacentral:rRNA from 1 species